UACGAGGGGGGCGAGCGUUGUUCGGAAUUAUUGGGCGUAAAGAGCUUGUAGGCGGUUUGUCGCGUCUGCCGUGAAAAUCCGGGGCUCAACCCCGGACUUGCGGUGGGUACGGGCAGACUAGAGUGUGGUAGGGGAGACUGGAAUUCCUGGUGUAGCGGUGAAAUGCGCAGAUAUCAGGAGGAACACCGAUGGCGAAGGCAGGUCUCUGGGCCACUACUGACGCUGAGAAGCGAAAGCGUGGGGAGCGAACAGG
rnacentral:rRNA from 1 species